rnacentral:lncRNA from 1 species
UUGGGGUAGGCAAAGGUUUAUUUAUUUACUUAUUUUAAUGUACAUACUACACACACGCACGCACGCACACGCACACACACGAACGCACUCACUCACAAACCUUGUUGUACUAUGACUUUUAUCAAUCAAUCUGGAACAUUCCUAAUGUGUAAAAUGCUUUACCAGAUACAACAUUAAAGCCUUACCAUUUCUCUAGGCAAUAGUCCCGUGACCUAACAAAAAGAAAAUGUGGCAAAUAAAUUGUUCAGAGUAUUUUGAGAAAUGCCAAAUAAAUAAAUAAAUAAAUAAAUAAAUAAAUAAAUAAAUAAAUAAAUAAAUAAGAAAAGUAUUUAGAAAAUAAUUUACAAUGGAAGGCAUUAGUACCUCUGAGGCCAUAGAUAUAGUUCAGGCCAAGGGGAAAGGAGAUGGAAGAUGUAUUUGUAAACCCUCAUGUCAGAAAUGAUGCGGGUCGAGGUGACAUAUAUUAAUUGCUGCUCUUUGGUGUCUGAUGAUAUUCAGUUACUUCAGAUGAGGUACAUCGUAUAUGCAUUUUAAGAACAAGACAUUCUCUUGAGUUCUAUGAUUUAUGCCUCUAAUUAUCAACUCAUCAUUUCUACGUAUUAAAAAAAUAUAAAGCUCUCUUAUCUCUCCAUACUCAUUUACAGAGAAAAAUCUUCAGAGAAUAUCUCCACAUUCCCAAAAGCUGGUUUUUCUUUCUGUGUGGGAGGUGUAUGUGCACAUAUGUGCUGUGUAGGCCAGAAGCUGAUGUCAGAUGGUUCCUUAAUUGCUCUUUAACUUCCAUAUUGAGGCAGGAUCUCCUCAACACUAAGUUCACCAGUCCUGGGAUUCUAAUUAGCCAACGUAUCUAGCAAUCUCCUGUCCGAGGCUCCAAGCCCUGUGAUUACAGGAUAGCUUCCACGUUGUUCUCACAACUUUUAUGGGUGCUGGUGAGAGAAACACAGUGCUCCACAAUUUUAUAGCAAACACUUCAUUGAUUGAGUCAUCUCUUCAGUUUCUAAAAUGGUAAAAUUUAAAGUAUUAUAUGGGACCAGGAGAUGUCAUAGCAGUUAAGGGCUCUGACUACUCUUCCAGAGGACACAAAUUCAAUCCCCAGCACCUAUAUGGCAGCCCACAACUGUCUAUAACUCGAGGACAACAUUAUAGAGCCAUACAGACAGGUAAAAUACACAUACACACAUAUGUACAAUAUAUAUAAAUUUGUUAAAAUGAAAUGUAUCUUCAAUGAUAAACCUUUUCUUCAAAUCAAUCAAGGAAUGACAUUUUGUGGGUUUUAAAAAUUCUAUUUUAUUGAAGAUCAAUUCAUACUUAUUAUUAAUAUAUGCAAUCAAAGAGCUGAUUAUAAUACACCAAAGAAUUAUAUAAUUUUGAUUUUUGAAUAUAAUUUAAAAGCUGAUAGAACACCUAAUAUUUUUAUGAUUUGAAAGUUAUUUCUCUCUGUCCUUAAGUUAGAAAAUAUUAGCAUUAAAAUAUUUCAUAAAUUGUAACUCUAGCAUAAAAUGAAAUCGUAUUAUUUUUCAGUAACAUUUGUAUAUAAGUUUAGAUUACUAGAACAGUAAUUUGAUAUUAAAAUUGCUGCAGUUAAUUCAUAUUAAAAAAUUUCUUAUCAACUCUUAGCACUGCCAAUAACUCUGCCUGUCCAGAAUAUCAGCAGACAUCUUUUGUUGGCAGACAUUUUCUCAAAGUCUGAAUUCCUGCCUUUGUGAACAAUAUUGAUAUAAGUGAAGAUUUAGAUAUAUUCUGUAAUUUAUCAAGGCUAUGAUGAUUUGAAUGAAUUUGCUACUGUGGCAAAAUUUAAGAAAUUCUCAUAGAUUGAGUCUGGAAAAAUAUGUUGUUCUUAGGUUUAACUUCACUAAUAAGGUGAAAUCUGAAGUCUAACAGUAUCUUGCCUUUUUACUCUGAGAGGUACAAAGAGGCCUUCGGCAUGAGUGGGUUUCUGAAAGGAGGAGAUUUCAUAAAUUUUAAGGAAAUUGUGUCAGCCGAGGAGUGCUGCCAAGUUGUAAUUCAUUAGUUCCCUGCUUGGCACAGUUCCAGUUCCUAUCAACAGUAAAACACACAGGUUUAUUCUCGGGGCAUGGAAUUUUCUUACCUCCAAAGGCAGCUCGUGCUUUUAUUUAAUGUAAAAUUGACAAUUCUUAGAACAAACACAACACACAGAGGUCUUGUAAGGCCUUUCUAAGAAGAUAAAAUUUGGAGGGAUCUGUGAAAUAACACUCCAGCUUUGCUUAUGUAAGUUAUGACAUCUAUCUUCAGAGAUGGAAAAGUAUUCCUUACAAACCCUUACCUCCAUCCCUGCAACAAAAGAAUUAUGUCUUGAGGGCCAGAGGAGGAGGAAGUCUGUGUGACAGUGUGUCUCUGAGAAGGGACAGGGAAGUUGCACACAUGAGCACUCAACAACAUGGCUACCUACACAAUAAAUGGAUUAACACAAGGCUAAUAGUCAUCCUUAGACAGAAAGGAAGUUGUCACAGGGCCCUGUCCCCAAACAAAGAGCUACAGAGGACCAAAGACUGCCAAGAGCAGGAGAUAAAGCGACCCCAAGGAAGAUCCUCCUCCACUCAGUUUGUUAUCUAGUCCCAAGUGCUCAGCCCUGAAAUCAUGUACAUGUAGAUAACAUCAAGCAGAAUGAACAGGUUGUAUUCAUAUAUGUAUGCAUUUGUGUGCAUGUGUGUGUGUGUGUUUAAAAGUAACAAAGAAAAAUAGCCCAUAUUGUUAAGAGAGGAAAAUGGAUGGAGAUGGGGAAAGAGAUAGGGUAGGCAAGUAGAGAAAUAAUGUAAUAUUAUUUUAUUUUUAAAAUUAAAACAAUUUGACAAAAACAAAAAUAAUAUGCAAACCUGGGACCAUCUAAGCUUUGUGCCUUAAAUAUAAGCAAGGAAAAACUAUGCAAACAAUUUAACAUUAUACAGAUUGAGCAAGUUGUAUUUAUAUAUUUAGGAACACUCAUACACACAGGCAAUGACAAUUUAAAAAAAGACACCAUGAAUUUUAAAAAUAGCAGGGAGGUACAUGGGAGAACAUAAGGGAUUGAAAAGAGGGAGGGUUGAUGUAAUUAUAAUCUCAAAAUAUAGAAAUAUUUUUAAAGUGAAUAUGUUGAGAAUUCCGUGGGAAUGUCCCUGAAGCUCCACUCUGGGUAUAAUUUCCUGAGACUGUACAUGGACUUACACACACACAGUUCCUGACCAUGAAAAUACUGUUUACUUUUGGCUAUUCCCAGGCACCCUGUUGAUCAAGGCAAAAGAUACUCAUUUUUCUUCCCUCUGCUUCCACUAUUUUUGAACAUGGUUUUGCCAGCUUACAGAAGUGGAUCUAAUGGUUAGUUGCUUUUUGAAAUGAGAUUGAUUCCUAUGGAGUCUCCCAUCUCUUUCAGUACAGGAUAUUAGAGUGUAGUAGUUCCCCCUGGGUUCUUUAUCAAAGGUACGUUUAUCAUCAUUUACCUCAAGUUAAAAACAAACAAAC